GAAAGCAUGCGACUCUUCGGAGGCGUUACACAGGUGCUGCAUGGCCGUCGUCAGCUCGUGUCGUGAGAUGUUUGGUUAAGUCCAGCAACGAGCGCAACCCCUGUUGCCAGUUACCAGCACGUGAAGGUGGGGACUCUGGCGAGACUGCCCAGAUCAACUGGGAGGAAGGUGGGGACGACGUCAGGUCAGUAUGGCCCUUAUGCCCAGGGCUGCACACGUACUACAAUGCCCAGUACAGAGGGGGCCGAAGCCGCGAGGCGGAGGAAAUCCUAAAAACUGGGCCCAGUUCGGACUGUAGGCUGCAACCCGCCUACACGAAGCCGGAAUCGCUAGUAAUGGCGCAUCAGCUACGGCGCCGUGAAUACGUUCCCGGGUCUUGUACACACCGCCCGUCACAUCAUGGAAGCCGGUCGCACCCGAAGUAUCUGAAGCCAACCGCAAGGAGGCAGGGUCCUAAGGUGAGACUGGUAACUGGGAUGAAGUCGUAACAAGGUAGCCGUAGGGGAACCUGCGGUUGGAUC
rnacentral:rRNA from 1 species